rnacentral:rRNA from 1 species
UACGGAGGAUGCAAGCGUUAUCCGGAAUGAUUGGGCGUAAAGCGUCCGCAGGUGGCAAUGUAAGUCUGCUGUCAAAGCGUCUGGCUCAACCAGAUAAAGGCAGUGGAAACUACAUAGCUAGAGUAAGGUAGGGGUAGAGGGAAUUCCUGGUGUAGCGGUGAAAUGCGUAGAGAUCAGGAAGAACACCGGUGGCGAAAGCGCUCUGCUGGACCAUAACUGACACUGAGGGACGAAAGCUAGGGGAGCGAAUGGG